rnacentral:rRNA from 1 species
AACGAACGCUGGCGGCAUGCCUAACACAUGCAAGUCGAACGAGACCUUCGGGUCUAGUGGCGCACGGGUGCGUAAGGCGUGGGAACCUGCCCUCAGGUUCGGAAUAACUCCCCGAAAGGGGUGCGAAUACAGGAUAAUGUCUUCGGACUAAAGAUUUAUCGCCCUUGGAUGGGCCCGCGUUAGAUUAGCUAGUGGGGGGGGUAAAAGCCUACCAAGGCGACGAGCCAUAGCUGGUCUGAGAGGAAGAUCAGCCACACUGGGACUGAGACACGGACCAGACGGGUACGGGAGGCAGCAGAGAGGAAGAGUGGACAAGGGGUGAGAGCCUGAUCCAGCCAUCCCGCGUGAAGGAUGACGGUGCUAUGGAUUGUAAACUUCUUUUGGACAGGGAUAAACCUACCCUCGUGAGGGUAGCUGAAGGUACUGGACGAAUAAGCACCGGCUAACUCCGUG